CCUAGAAAUUAUCCUGAUUUCGAAUCAGGGAUAAUAAAGUGGGCUACAUGCAUAUUCAUUAAGGCAUGGAUGAUUGAAUCUAUAUGCCGAUGAAAUACAAUAACAAUAGUUAGUAGUAAUGACAAGCCUUGGGGAAGUUUUGAACGAAAAUUAGAGUUAUGGUGAGACUUGAUGAGUGUGCUAUGCCUG
rnacentral:ncRNA from 1 species